rnacentral:lncRNA from 1 species
GAUGCGGCCGGGGCUGCGCGGUGGUGAUGCGAGCCUGCAGGGCGGCGCGCCGGGGCAGCCGGAGCCGCGCGCCGCGGCGCUGUAAUCGGACACCAAGAGCGCUCGCCCCCGGCCUCCGGCCACUUUCCAUUCACUCCGAGGUGCUUGAUUGAGCGACGCGGAGAAGAGCUCCGGGUGCCGCGGCACUGCAGCGCUGAGAUUCCUUUACAAAGAAACUCAGAGGACCGGGAAGAAAGAAUUUCACCUUUGCGACGUGCUAGAAAAUAAGGUCGUCUGGGAAAAGGACUGGAGACACAAGCGCAUCCAACCCCGGUAGCAAACUGAUGACUUUUCCGUGCUGAUUUCUUUCAACCUCGGUAUUUUCCCUUGGAUAUUAACUUGCAUAUCUGAAGAAAUGGCAUUCCGGACAAUUUGCGUGUUGGUUGGAGUAUUUAUUUGUUCUAUCUGUGUGAAAGGAUCUUCCCAGCCCCAAGCAAGAGUUUAUUUAACAUUUGAUGAGCCUACCUUGUACAAUGCUGUGUGCUACAUCUGUGGGUACAAAAAGAAGUGUGGCGUGAAUUUGGUCCUCAGCAACCACCUACUCUAAACUUCGAGAAACCAAGACCUCUGAAUACUUCAGCCUUUCCCACCAUCCUUUAGACUACAGGAUUUUAUUAAUGGAUGAAGAUCAGGACCGGAUAUAUGUGGGAAGCAAAGAUCACAUUCUUUCCCUGAAUAUUAACAAUAUAAGUCAAGAAGCUUUGAGUGUUUUCUGGCCAGCAUCUACAAUCAAAGUUGAAGAAUGC